CAGAUAUACAAGGUGACACGCCCCUGUUAGGUGGCUGCUCUGAGACCUCACUCAUGUGGAUGACAGCUGGACUUCGGUGUGACAGAGACAGUAAAGAAUGAAGAGGAAGGGAACCACCAGCAGCUUUUCCCAGCCUAAAAGAAAAGAGGAGGAAGAGCAUCCCAGAGAGGAGAUGGAGGAGGAAGAGUUCAGAGAGAGAGAAAGAAAUGAAGGCAUGCAGAGCUCCGACAGCGAAAGACCAAAGAACUACAGACUCUUCACAACCUGCUCAAACUCUUGGUACAGGACCUCACCACAUGGGUCAAGAAGGUGCAGUGAGAGAGAGACAGAAAACGGGAGAAGAGCAGAGGGAAGACAUGCAGCAAAGGACCACAAGUGGGAAUUGAACCCGGGCCGCUGCAUCAAAGACCAGCCUCUGUACAUGGAUCACCUGCUUAACCUGACCAAAGAACUACAGACUCUUCACAACCUGCUCAAACUCUUGGUACAGGACCUCACCACACGGGUCAAGAAGGUGCAGUGAGAGAGAGACAGAAAACAGGGGAGAAGAGCAGAGGGAAGACAUGCAGCAAAGGACCACAAGUGGAAAUUGAACCCGGGCCGCUGCAUCAGAGACCAGCCUCUGUACAUGGAUCACCUGCUUAACCUGACCAAAGAACUACAGACUCUUCACAACCUGCUCAAACUCUUCGUACAGGACCUCACAACACGGGUCAAGAAGAUGGCAUUACCUUCAUGAAUGGAGCAUCGACAAGUGACGUCUACAACACAACAGAAAUGUCUGGAAGCCAGUGGCCACCACUUUGAGCACUUCUUGUAAUUGUAGAGGCCAAAGAUAACUUUUAUUAAUCUCAUGAUGUCUGAAUAAAUUUGGUAUUGAAAUAUUUAUGCAAGUUUUUCUUUUCCUGAUGUGUGUAAACAUUAUUUUGCCUGACUCUGUAUAAUGGGUUUCUGACAGGUCACCAGGCAACAUCUUUUUAUAAUAAUGACAAACAUACCUGCAUUCUACAGGAGUGAUUUUCCUCAUGUGCAGGUAAAGAUGUGUGAGGAGCUUAGAGAUGACAGGAGCAGGAGUCAUCCUCACUAAUUCAGCUUCCACCUAGAAACAGAAAGACCACAAACAAACAUACUGAUAUACUCUCAAACGUUCAACCUCACAGCCUCAAAAUAUCUGUUUAGGAAGUGUUGUGUUCCUAAAUUCUGCUGAAAGCAUUGACAGACAUUCUCUUACAAGGUUGGGUAAAAAGCAGCCUGUCCUCUGAGCUACUGAGAAAUCUUCCUGAACAAAGUUUCUACGUGUAAAUCAGCUCAACAAAAACUAAAGCCUCAGUCAGAGAUAACAGGUAUCGCAAAUUAUGAACAACUUUCUUUGUUAACUCAGCCUUUCUGCUUCAACCUCACAUAAAAAGGGGAGUUUAGCUCGUCAGGUGACUGAAAAUGAAUGGCUUGUGCAGUUCUAGAUCCAAAAGUAGGAUGUUUCAAUUCAUGUUUUAUUACAAAUACAUGCAGUAAUAAAUAAAUACAAUGGCUGGUUGUUAGUUUAUUCACUAUUAAUGUCAUUUUAUACACUGGAUUGAACUUGAGCAGUGGAAGAGAGAAGGAAUUUAAUGAAAUUAUGGAGAUUCAGAGAGGUAAUGUUGCGCAAUGUGAAGUUAAGCGCUGUUUAAUUCAAACCAGCUGAAUGUUAAACUUCAGUGCAGCUGAACGAGUUUCAGUUAACCUUAAAAGUAAAAUAACUUUUUUAAAAGCUAAAAUACACAGCACAGAAAUACAGGUUGAGAAGUUCCUUCUAAUAACGAGGACAGCUGCGUCAGCAACUAACACAGGUGUUCAGUGGUAAGUUAGCCACCUGUGUUAAUUAGCCCGCUAGCUAACUUAGCCGCUUAGCUAGCUAACGCGUCCGGACCAACUGCUCAAACACGACAAAACACAACUCUUCACAAGUCGCUGACUUAACGUACAACAAAACAACGCUACUGGUUAGAAGUAUUUAUCUUCUUACCGUGUUUUACUCCAAAAACAAAGUCAACAGCAGCCAGAGAUGCUACCAGACGGCCGACCACAGAUAUACGCUAGCGUGCUGUCUUCUAUGUUAUCUAUGGUCUGACCAAUCACUGCUCUCUGGCUCCGCCCUCUGAGAAUCUUGUUGUCGUUUGGCUCCACACUUGCUGAUAACUUCCGGUCUCAGAAAAUGAAAAAACAGACCUUUUUUUCGUUUCUGUCUCUUACUGAUUUUAUUUUUUUGUUAUUCUAAAUAUAAAAUGAAAAUCAAAGCAUUUUUAAAAUUUCGUAUAUCCUUUUUUGAUCAUGAAAAGGAAAAACGCCUUGUAUUUCAAAUUUAAUUUUUGUAUUUUGAAAACAAAAAUCAAAUAACCACUUGUUUUUUGUUUUUCAAUACCCGUUUCAGAACAGAAAAUCCAAUUGCCAAAAUAUACACGGACCGUUUUCUAUUAUACUUGUGACAUUCAACUGCAUGUGGUUCAGAAAAUAUCACCAGUUAACUUCUGCAUUACCAAUUUUUCAUGGCAGCUUCAGUAUUUGUUUCAACUCUCCCUUAAUCAGACUAUUUGACCUACUUGCCUAAUAUUGCAUAUUUUGAAUCAAUGCCGAAAUUAUGUUAAAUAAUACUAAAAAGUUCAGGCAUUUAUCUUUGUAGCUCCUGAGAUAUUGUCAUUCAAUCAACCUCUAAUUUGAAUGUGCAAAUAAAGAUGACAAAGGCAAAUCUACAGGCAAUUUAAAACAUAACAUAGUUCAGUAAGUAUUUGAUAUGUCAAGCUAAUGAUUCACAAAUAUCUUUUUUAAUGUCCAUUGUUCUGCCCUGCAGCAGAAUUUCGUGUCCUGCAGUGCCCUCUACUAAUUUUUUCGUGGAAAUUAUGUUAAAGCAGGGCAUUUUCGAAGAGAGAGGAUCUGAAUGUUGCUGCUUCUUCUCCUGCUGUUUUCAUUUCAAUGUUGUGGCCUUGGAAAGUACUUGUCUGUAAGUAUCUCAGUUUGUUUGACUUGCCUUUUUCUAUUGUGUGUUUAUGUACUGAUUUUAUUCUGAUUUAUAUUUGCAAUUUGUUCUUGUUACAGAUUUACGGUUCAAAAUAAAGUGAUCUUCAAUCACAAGAAAAGUCACGCCUUGAGUUUUGAGGAAUCACACGUUUGCUAGCUGUCUACCUAUGAAACAAGAAAACUCAUAGGGAGGACAUUAUAUCCAUAUUACACGCUGUAAAGAAAAGGUCAGACAAAUCAGAAAUGGUUGAGCAGAAAAUGUAAUGAUUUGAAAUGUGUUUCAAUAGUUUUUGGUCAACAGUGGAGCUCCGAGGCUCAGAGGAAUGAGACGUAUCAGGGUUUGGUAUAAUACAAGACAGUACAGGUAUGUUCAAUUCAUUGUUAGUUGAGUGGAGAUGAUUGCUGGUAAUUUGCUCUCUCACAGGUUCCUGACUGGUUUUGAGAAUUUAACCAGCUCUGUUUGGGUCCCAAAGGUCACAGAUCUGACCUCUGAGCUUGCACCAUCUAAAUCCAGGAUCCCGGCUGGAUGCACCUUCAGCCUCAGGGCUCCCAGCAUUCUGCUGCCUCAGAGGAAGUUUCAGUCCUCUGGGUGUCAGAACAGCUGGACACCAGACCUGGAGGUGGAGGAGCAGCAGUUUGCUCUAACGGGGGAAACCUGUUGGAAAAGCCGCCUGCUCACCGUGGCGUGGAGCUGCUCUCUGGGGAGCCUCCACUCACAUGAAAAAUCUCCACAAAAUGGAAGAAAAAAACCGCAUGGAGGCAGCCAGGUCUGCUCCUUUUGGGAACGCCGGCGGUGGAGACGUAAACCAAACAAGCAUGAGUUGUGUAGAGUGAAGCAGGUCUGCAGGCUGGGGAAGCUGGUGCUUGGUACAACAAAUUACUGCUCGAUGUCUCACAACGUUUUUCCUCUCGCUGUCAGUGUGAGCUGCUGGACGAUGCUGUGCUUCCAACACUGCACCUAUUCAUGCCGGCUGUCCAUUCAUCAUCAGCAUUUAGAGAAAACAGGCGGGACUGUUUGGAUUCUCAGCACAAGGCCGUCCAAAAUACGAAACCCGAGCCUUUCUGUUCAGUGUGAACACGGCCGCAGUAAACAUUAGCGCUCAUGGCUGAGGACUUGGAGACCACAAUUGUUCCAUCUGGCACAAAUGUUCAAAGCAUUUCUGGCAGAAUGACUUUUCUUUUUUUUUUUCUUUUUAAAGCAGACGUUCACACCCUGCCUCAUCUUUCAGACCUUAUUUUACUCUUCCAGGCAGCUGUGUUGAUCUUGAACACACAAGUACAAAUUUGAGAUACUCAUUUUUUACUUGAAUAUUUGCUGCUAUUUAAUACAUUUAAUAGUUUUUCCAAAUUUAAAUUUGACAAACCAGAGUCCAGGCACAACACUAGCAUGCAGCUUCCACAACAAAAUCAUAGUUUUUACUUCUGAUAUGUUACUGUGAAUUCUAAAUGUAAUACAAGUGUAAUUACACUUAAGUAACUACUUGUAUAUUUACAAUUUAAGUAAAGAAUUUGAAAAUGUAGUCCACAAACUGGCAAAAAGACAUUUUUAUCAUGAACAUGAACAGUUGAAUGAAAGUCAUACUGAAAGAUGGACACUGCUGUCUUUUGCUGAGCUCCAGCUUUUGUAUUCGCAGCUAAUUUUGAUCAGUUUUUACAAUUACAAACUAUUAGGUUGCAUGUUUUAUCCACUACUGUUACACUUUGAGCCCUCUGAUUGAAGGAGAAAAAAAAACAUCCAAUGCAUUUUGUAAUGUGGAUGCUACACUUAUUUACUAAUAAUCAGUAAAAGGAUUUUACAGUGCAGAUAUUUAUGAUUUCUAUUCCAAACCUCUGCAUGUGUUUAAGUGCUGAAAAUCAUUGGUCUGUAAGAUACUAUCAAAACUUUGUCCAGUGAUUUUCCUCUUUUACCUUUGAAACAACUUUCUGAAAUCAGAAAAAAUUUGAAUACUGAUGUCUGAAGUUGAUGUUGAAACUCACAUUCAACAGAAGUUUCAUUUACACAAAUGCAUUUUGAUACCGUGAAAGGAUGACUACAGAGUUGGAAAAGACUGAGACUGUAUCCUGAUCAACAGCACACACUCCUCUGAAGUCUUCAUUGCUGUUUCACUUUUUAAUCUCCCUCUUAAAACAUUACAUAUCAAUCAUUCAUUGCUAUUCUUUACUUGAGUCCCUCAAUCAGCAGCAGUCAGGUAGAAUGAAGGAAACUCCUGCUUCAGGUCUGAAUAGAAACCCUGAAAAAUACCUUUAAGAAGUAAGUAAUUUACUAAGUUACAACCUAACAAGCAGUUCACACAGUGCAGCACUAUUAUUAACAUUAAACUGUCAAGUCAGUGUGCUGAAGUGAAGCAACUCAUGAGGUGCUACUUCAUUCAAUAAAGUUUUAUUUUUGCGGUGGAACUAAGUGAAAUGAUCUCAUCCCACAGGCGUUUUCUAUUUGUUUGAAGAGAAUGAGAUUUCAGUCACCACUGGACUUGGUGACUUGUUAACAUGAAUAUGGUCCACAGUUCUGCUCCCUGGCGGUCUGAGCAGCAUUUAUGGGCCUUGGCCUUCUCAGCGUUUGUUCACAUGGUGUUUUUAUGGAGGGAAACGUCUCCAGCGGCGGCCCUUCAUUUCUCCACAGGGGAACUGACCACAGACUUCCUGGAAAAGGCCUGGUGGCCGAGCAAAGACAGCGAGUCCGACUCAGCGGCCAGAUGGGACGAGCUGACCUCACUGGAGCACUUGGA